rnacentral:rRNA from 1 species
CCUACGGGGGGCAGCAGUAAGGAAUAUUGGUCAAUGGACGAAAGUCUGAACCAGCCAUCCCGCGUGCAGGAUGAAAGCCCUCUGGGUUGUAAACUGCUUUUAGCAGAGAAGACAAGCUUUCAUUAAUGAGAGUCUGACGGUAUCUGCAGAAUAAGCACCGGCUAACUCCGUGCCAGCAGCCGCGGUAAUACGGAGGGUGCGGGCGUUAUCCGGAAUUACUGGUGUUAAGGGGUGCGUAGACGGCGUAUUUGAAAUCUGGUCGCUUAACGAUAAAAUUGCCAAUGAUACUGGUACUCUUGAAUUGGGUUGAGGUUAGCGGAAUGUGACAUGUAGCGGUGAAAUGCAUAGAUAUGUCAUGGAACACCAAUUGCGAAGGCAGCUAACUGGGCCGUGAUUGACGCUGAGGCACGAAAGCGUGGGUAGCGAACAGGAUUAGAUACCCUAGUAGUC